CUUUCACACUUCCUGUCAUUGGCUUAUACCCCUACCUGUGUCAUUGGCCUUAACAAGGACUUAAAGAUGCCGAAAGUUCAGUAUAAAUCGAACUGUAAACCAUCCACAUUUGCAUAUCCUGCCCCUCUGGAAGUACCAAAAGAAAAAGAAAAGGAAAAGGUUUCUACUGCUGUAUUAUCUAUAACUGCCAAGGCUAAAAAGAAGGAAAAAGAAAAGGAAAAAAAGGAGGAGGAGAAAAUGGAAGUGGUAGGCAGAGAAAAAGGAGGAAAAAGAGAAGAAAAAAGAACCUGAGCCAAACUUCCAGUUAUUGGAUAACCCAGCCCGAGUUAUGCCUGCCCAGCUUAAGGUCCUAACCAUGCCGGAGACCUGUAGAUACCAGCCUUUCAAACCACUCUCUAUUGGAGGCAUCAUCAUUCUGAAGGAUACCAGUGAAGACAUUGAGGAGCUGGUGGAACCUGUGGCAGCACAUGGCCCAAAAAUCGAGGAGGAGGAACAAGAGCCAGAACCCCCAGAACCAUUUGAGUAUAUUGAUGAUUAAGGGCCAGAGGAUCUCACUUGCUUAUCUGAAGAAGAUUGUCCAGGCUCAUAUUGGGAAUGCUUAUGAGGAAAUUCAUGCCGAGACCUGCUAUUCAAUGCAUGUAUCGUUGCCUCUGCACUGACCUGAAGAACCCUGUCUCCAAGUCUUUGGUUGAAGAGAAGAUAUAUGACUGUUGAGUGUGCUCUUUCACAGAACUUGGUUUUCAAAUAAAUAUAAGAUCUCCAGAUG
rnacentral:lncRNA from 10 species